rnacentral:lncRNA from 1 species
CACCGCUCGAGCGCCAAAGGGGUUUGACUCUGGCCGUCCCCCGUUCUCCUCGUACGCCGCCCUCAGCCGUCCGAUGAGCGCGUCGAGGCUGCCCCACGCCUGCUUGAGAGGGCAGGCGCACGGGGCGGGAGGGUUCUGGUGUCCGAAGUAGGGGCAGCCGGCGGCGUGGACUUUAGUCUUCCCAAACUGGUCGAGGUACUUAAGGAAUUCGAUGACGUGGGCCCCACUGCAGCGGGCCAACGUGAGCGGAGGCUUGUGGUUCUUGAGGUACUGCAGGAAGGUGUUCCAGUCCCGCCGCUUCUGCGACUCGUAGCGGCUCGGCGGAGCGGGAGAUGCUGACA